rnacentral:rRNA from 1 species
UACGGGGGGGGCAAGCGUUGUUCGGAAUUACUGGGCGUAAAGGGCGCGUAGGCGGUUCGCUAAGUUGGAUGUGAAAACUCUGGGCUUAACCCAGAGCCUGCAUCCAAAACUGGCGAACUGGAGUACUGGAGGGGAAAGCGGAAUUCCUGGUGUAGCGGUGAAAUGCGUAGAUAUCAGGAGGAACACCGGUGGCGAAGGCGGCUUUCUGGACAGUAACUGACGCUGAGGCGCGAAAGCUAGGGGAGCGAACGGG